GCGGACAUAGCUUAGUUGGUAAAGCGCAACCUUGCCAAGCAAGGUUGAGACCGCGGGUUCGAGUCCCGUUGUCCGCUCCA
rnacentral:tRNA from 1 species